rnacentral:lncRNA from 1 species
UCUUGAUUAAGUGGUUUUAGUAGAUUCCUAUUUCGUUUAUAUCUUGUUUAGUUUAUGUCACGACAUAGACCGUCAUGGGUCUAACCCACACUAUCCAUCUUGUGGGACAACAAACUACCAACCAAAAAUUACCCAGCACACCAUUUUCUAAACCAAGUCAACAAAUAAAUAUCAAGAAACAAUCUUUAAAACAACUAAUGAAUUGAG